GUGGAGAGAGGGACAGAGGCUGGAGAAGGAUGCAUGGCCUGCCCUGGGCUUGUCUGUUCCCUCCUGAGCCUGAGCCCCUUACCUUCCUGACCCCAUGAAGCACGCACUGGCUCUGCUGGCUCCCCUGCUGGGCCUGGGCCUGGGGCUGGCCCUGAGUCGGCUGGCAGCAGGGGCCACAGACUGCAAGUUCCUUGGCCCGGCAGAGCACCUGACAUUCACCCCAGCAGCCAGGGCCCGGUGGCUGGCCCCUCGAGUUCAUGCGCCAGGACUCCUGGAUUCCCUCUAUGGCACCGUGCGCCGCUUCCUCUCGGUGGUGCAGCUCAAUCCUUUCCCUUCAGAGUUGGUAAAGGCCCUACUGAAUGAGCUGGCCUCCGUGAAGGAGCUGCAGGCCGUGGCACAGCAAUUCUCCCUGCCCCAGGAGCAAGUCUCAGAGGAGCUGGAUGGUGUUGGUGUGAGCAUUGGGAGUGCGAUCCACACUCAGCUCAGGAGCUCCGUGUACCCCUUGCUGGCGGCCGUGGGCAGUUUGGGCCAGGUCCUGCAGGUCUCCGUGCACCACCUGCAAACCUUGAAUGCUACAGUGGUAGAACUGCAGGCCGGGCAGCAGGACCUGGAGCCAGCCAUCCGGGAACACCGGGACCGCCUCCUUGAGCUGCUGCAGGAGGCCGGGUGCCCUCUGUGGACCAUGUCCUGCACCAGCUAAAAGGUGUCCCCGAGGCCAACUUCUCCAGCAUGG
rnacentral:sRNA from 1 species